rnacentral:rRNA from 1 species
CCUACGGGAGGCAGCAGUGAGGAAUAUUGGUCAAUGGGCGGAAGCCUGAACCAGCCAAGUCGCGUGCAGGAUGACUGCCCUACGGGUUGUAAACUGCUUUUAUACGGGAAUAACGCGCCUUACGUGUAGGGCUUUGCAUGUACCUUAUGAAUAAGGACCGGCUAAUUCCGUGCCCGCCACCGCGGUAAUACGGAAGGUCCGGGCGUUAUCCGGAUUUAUUGGGUUUAAAGGGAGCGUAGGCCGCAUGUCAAGCGUGCUGUGAAAUGUCCGGGCUCAACCCGGGCCUUGCAGCGCGCACUGGCGGGCUUGAGUCCGCGGAAAGCAGGCGGAAUUCGUCGUGUAGCGGUGAAAUGCUUAGAUAUGACGAAGAACCCCGAUUGCGAAGGCAGCUUGCUGCAGCGGAACUGACGCUGAUGCUCGAAAGCGCGGGUAUCGAACAGGAUUAGAUACCCCUGUAGUC